GCGAACUGGUGAGUAACACGUGGGAAACCUGCCCACAAGCGGGGGAUAACACCUGGAAACAGAUGCUAAUACCGCAUAACAACUUGGACCGCAUGGUCCGAGUUUGAAAGAUGGCUUCGGCUAUCACUUCUGGAUGGUCCCGCGGCGUAUUAGCUAGAUGGUGAGGUAACGGCUCACCAUGGCAAUGAUACGUAGCCGACCUGAGAGGGUAAUCGGCCACAUUGGGACUGAGACACGGCCCAAACUCCUACGGGAGGCAGCAGUAGGGAAUCUUCCACAAUGGACGAAAGUCUGAUGGAGCAACGCCGCGUGAGUGAAGAAGGGUUUCGGCUCGUAAAACUCUGUUGUUAAAGAAGAACAUAUCUGAGAGUAACUGUUCAGGUAUUGACGGUAUUUAACCAGAAAGCCACGGCUAACUACGUGCCAGCAGCCGCGGUAAUACGUAGGUGGCAAGCGUUGUCCGGAUUUAUUGGGCGUAAAGCGAGCGCAGGCGGUUUUUUAAGUCUGAUGUGAAAGCCUUCGGCUCAACCGAAGAAGUGCAUCGGAAACUGGGAAACUUGAGUGCAGAAGAGGACAGUGGAACUCCAUGUGUAGCGGUGAAAUGCGUAGAUAUAUGGAAGAACACCAGUGGCGAAGGCGGCUGUCUGGUCUGUAACUGACGCUGAGGCUCGAAAGUAUGGGUAGCAAACAGGAUUAGAUACCCUGGUAGUCCAUACCGUAAACGAUGAAUGCUAAGUGUUGGAAGGUUUCCGCCCUUCAGUGCUGCAGCUAACGCAUUAAGCAUUCCGCCUGGGGAGUA
rnacentral:rRNA from 1 species